UACGUAGGUGGCAAGCGUUGUCCGGGAUUAUUGGGCGUAAAGCGCGCGCAGGUGGUUCCUUAAGUCUGAUGUGAAAGCCCACGGCUCAACCGUGGAGGGUCAUUGGAAACUGGGGAACUUGAGUGCAGAAGAGGAAAGUGGAAUUCCAAGUGUAGCGGUGAAAUGCGUAGAGAUCCGGAGGAACACCGGUGGCGAAGGCGGCCCGCUGGGUCGACCCUGACACUGAGGCGCGAAAGCGUGGGGAGCGAACGGG
rnacentral:rRNA from 1 species